UACAGAGGUCCCGAGCGUUGUUCGGAUUCACUGGGCGUAAAGGGUGCGUAGGUGGCGAGGUAAGUCGGAUGUGAAAGCUCGGAGCUCAACUCCGAAAUGGCAUUGGAAACUACCUUGCUUGAGGGUUGGAGGGGGGACUGGAAUUCUCGGUGUAGCAGUGAAAUGCGUAGAGAUCGAGAGGAACACCAGUGGCGAAGGCGAGUCCCUGGACAACACCUGACGCUGAGGCACGAAAGCUAGGGGAGCAAACAGG
rnacentral:rRNA from 1 species